GCGCUCGUUGUGUAGCGGUUAUCAUCCAGGACUUCCAAUUCUGGGACCCGGGUUCAAUUCCCGGCGAGCGCA
rnacentral:tRNA from 1 species